ensembl:lncRNA
UUUUGUCCUAUCAGAGAAGAAGAUCAAUACAGAUUUGCCUUUCAAUAUUGUGACAACAUUCUUCUCGCAUCUCAAGAUAAAGCACAACACUUGAGUGUACUCACUCGGUUGUUGAAAAUACUCCAAGAGGCGGGUUUCCUCUUGAACAAACGAAAGGUCCAAUUGUUUCAAUCGGAAGUUACAUUUUAAGGUCAAAGUAUAGGUCGUGAGGGAAAGAGACCUCUUCCAGACUGGGUCAUAGCCAUCACUCAUUUAAAUAAGCCAACCAAAGUUACUGGUUUAAGAUCAUUAAUGGGGCUAUUUAAUUUUAAUCGGAUGUAUAUCCCAGAUUUUUCUGAUUUGGCUAAACCUCUAACAGAGGCUCUUAAAGGAGGCCUUCCGGGUGCUUCCCCUUUGGAGUGGACAGCGGACAUGGCUGAGUCCUUUACUCUCCUCUCCCGCGUUAUAUCACCCCGACAUGACAAAGACAUUCCAUGUAUGGACACAUGUUGGGCCAAGUACUUAUAACUGUGUGCUGGGACAAUGUAAAGGUGACAAAAGUUAUGGCAUAGUUGGGUAUUAUUCAACUUUGAUUCCUUCUUCCAUGAAUGGACAGAUGCCCUGUUUGAUGGCCUUGGACUGUGCUGAGUGGGCGUUGAAGGUCACUGAGGCCAUCGUCUGUUACAAUCAGAUGAUCCUUCACUCUCCACAUCGUUUUCUACGCAUGCUCGCAGAGACAAAAAUAAAGUCGAUUUCAAAUCAACGACGUGCAAAAUGGGAAACUGCUCUCAUGAACCCUCAGCUCACUGUUGUUGCAGACAACCGGACAAAUUCUGCCUCCCUAAUGGAGAAUGAGGGGAGUGCACAUGACUGCGCCGAGGUAAUUAUCUGUGACAGGGGACAUUUUGUCAGAGAUGAACCGUUUUCAGAUUCUCUGGACAUGUUCGUGGAUGGCAGCAGUUUCUACGAGGGUGACACACGCUACACGGGGUGGGUGGUAGUAGAGGGGAAGACGGGCGGGGUCUUGGCUGAGGGGUCGCUUCGGGAGGAAGUGCUCAGAUAGCUGAAUUGCAUGCUUUGAAAGCUGCCUUAAAUCUGGCUCUUAAACUAACUGCCAGUGAAAAUAGCUCCACUAAUGUAAAUAUUUUUACUGAUAGUGCAUACAGCUACCAUGUAGUGCAGAGUUAUGGCCCUGUUUGGAAACGUUGUUGUUAUUUGACCACAGCGGGUAUGCCAAUAACUCAUCAAACCAUGAUUAAAGAAAUUCUUGACACGUGUGAGAAAAUUCCACCAAACAGUGUCGCGGUAUGUAAAGUCACAGGUCACAGUACAUUCAAUGAUUGGUUGGCAAAAGGAAACUCUCUAGCUGAUAAGGCUGCGAGAGAAGGUGCAAAGGGUGUGGCACUUGAGGAAGUAGCUGUUAUUUUCCCUGUUCAUCCUGAUUGCACGGGUUCCAAAACUUUAUCUAAAUUGUACACAACUGAGGAUCGUGAAAUGUGUCAGAAAUUAGGAGCUACCUUAACUGAAGAAGGGGUUUAUGCCCUGAAUGAAAAGUCAUUCCAUCUAGCGGAUAUCAAACUGAACUAAUUGAUUUGUACCACAGCAUUGCACACCAAGGGGUUCAGAAAACAUAUGCUAUGUUACAACAAACAUGGUUUUGGUCAGAGAUGUUACAAACUGUGAAGGAUAGACUGUCCAGAUGUAUCCACUGUUUGCAAACGCAGCCAUAAUUUGGAAAAGUUAAAUUCCCAAUUGGUCACAGUCCUCGCCCGCGAGGACCAUUCACACAUUUACAAUUGGAUUUUAUUUCGUUACCUUCUGAUCAUGGGUACAAAUAUGUACUAGUUUUGUUGUAAAUUUUCCAGAUGCUCUGAAAGGGUGUAUUGGAUUUUCAGUCCCUCUCAUUGCACCAUGGUUCAGGAAUGAUAGAUUUUCAUAAAAUAGGGGUAUCUUUACUGGGAUUUAGGUUAUAAACAAUGUCUGUAUUUGGUAUCUUUGAGGUGACUGAGGGUCUGACCUAUGUCAGGAAUGCAAUAACAGUGAUUAUUCAUUUAGCCCGGCUUCCAGAGAAUAAUACAUACAUACGUUUAUGGCAAUUAAUUUAUUUUACAAUAUAACAAAUUAACCAAAAUUCAUCAUAGUUGUAUAAGACAUAUAAAAAGAAAGUACAACUAAGUCAAAUUUCUUUCUAAAAGGUCUUUGGGUUUUAACUGUACCUUCCCCUAAAGCUCAGUUGUUGUGCUCAGGUCCUUCGGGUCCACUGAAAGACACUUUACAGGAGUAUCUUAAAGUACUCACGUGCGCAUUAAGAAUGCCAAUUUGAGUGCCCUCAGUGCUCAAAAUGCUUGAGAUCUUAAAACACUAUAUUCAAUGUAAAGGUUAAAAAUCACGUACAAGUGGGGGACGAAGUGAUGAUACAGAAAAUAGGGAACUUAGGACCAAUGUCCUCCAAGUAUGAGGGUCCUUAUUCGGUAUUGUUGACUACUCCAACAUUUCUUCUUGUUGAAAUCGAGCCAGGUUUGACUCGAUGGAUGCAUCUUGCACAAGUGAAGCCUCUGUCGCCGCUUGCUGAUACUAACUCUCUUUCUAAUGUGAUUUAGUCCAACAGGUGCAGUAUUUUAUAUCCAAGGAAUGUCUGCUAAGGAAGAACAAUGACUAAUUGUUUCCUCUUUUUAGGUUCUCAACUAUGAUUCCAUCCGGACCUAUUGUGUUUAAUAUAUAUAUAUAUAUAUAAAAAAAAAAAGAGAAACUGAAAACCAUGGUGUUUAUGUUUAUGUGUACUGGUAUUGUCCUGUUUAGUUUGUCUAUGUGUCGUUAUGUGUGUGUUUUUGUUGUGUUUUUAUCCAAAUAUUUCUGCUCCUACUAUUCUAUAUCUCUAAAAGUGCAGCUCAUUGACAUUCUGGGAGUGGUUGCUGUGCUCGUGGCUGGACAUCAGUGUUUCAUCGCAUCAUCAUAACAUUACUCGUUAACUAAUUCUACGUCAUCUGAGAGACCUGUGCUAAAGUCUACCAGCUGAUAUAUAUAGAUUUACAUAUAGAUCAAAAGAUAUUUUUAUUCUCCCAUUUGUAGUGAUGAGGAAAUCUAUACCUUACAGGUGAAGGGUAAGGAAAGGUAUGAGAUGUUGAAAACGAUCAACGAAAGUUUGGAAAUUAAUAUCUUCAACUGCUAUCUCCCAAGGGCAAGAAGAGAAAGAACAAUGAUAGAGUUUAGAGUUGGGAAAGAUGGACGGCUGUGUUAAGUCCUCAACCCAGCAAAAGUCCAGGGGACGCCAGGGGUCGAAUUUCCUUAGGAGUUCUCGUCUGGCCAUCUUGGUGAAGAUCUUUGUUAAUUUUAAGGUAGCUGGGGUUAGAGAGGUAUCUACAGUACUAUCUAUCUGAAAUUGUUUUAUUGAUUUUCUACAUUUUCAUGUAUGCAUCAUGUAUUUUUCUUUUGAAUUACUCUGUAUUUUUUGGUUUUGAUUUAAGGAAAAGGUUGUGGCGAGUCUUUUGAUAAGACUCGAGUGGGGGAUUGGUGUGUGGAGAUUCUAAGAAAUCCACAUGGUGAUAGAGAUUCUGAGAAGAAGUCCACGUAUUUAAAUUAAACCCAAGUGUUGUUGAGAGAUUCUGAGAAGUCACGUACUCAGAAUGUGUUCUAUUCAUAAUGAUAAGUUUCAUUUCAAAAGUUAAAAAAAUAAUAUUUCAUGUCUCAUAUAUAUAUAUAUAUUAAUAGGUUUCAUUUUUAUAUUCAAAAAUGUUUUUGGUAAACUUUAUGGUAUAUUUCAUAUGUAAUUUCACAGUAUUUCUAACUAAGUAGUCAGCUGAGUCUGUUUUGCAUAUGAAGUUGAACUGUAUGUAUUGUUCUUUUGUAUCAAUAUUUCUUAGAAUUAUCAGUAUGAUACUUUGAAUCUAAAAGAGGAAGAAGUCCAAAAUCGAGACAUUGACUAGACUAUUUUUAAAGGUCAGGUGUUAUUAGUGAUAGCCAGAUGACGACUUAUGUCUAGAACAACAGUAUAUAAGAUAGACUCUGCAAAAUAGAAUAGGGUUUUGACUUUCUGAGACUCUGGUCUCUCUAUCUUUUCAGCUCACUUCCUCUUCUUUGGCUUCACUCGACAACUCUUAGACUCAGACUUAGAACUCUUACAGGUUUUUAUUCAAAUUCAGAUACCUUGAAAUUCAGAUACUUUGAUACUCUGAUACUUUAAUAUUUUAAUAUUAAUAUUUUGGUACUUUUGAUUCGAACAGAAUAAUUGUUUAUGUUUUAAUUACAAUUGUAUUAAUGUUUUGAUUAAUACUGGUUGGGUUCAAUCCAUCAUAAAUUGAUUGUUAUUAAAAAUGUACUAACAUUGGAUUUACA